rnacentral:snRNA from 1 species
AUCUCUUCUCGGCCUUUUGGCUAAGAUCAAGUGUAAAAGUAUCUUAUAGGCACAUUUAAAAUUUUUUUUUACAUUUUUUUGGAAGGGAUGGAAUUGUUCUAUCUUAGGCCUGAGCUGGGUUUGGUCUAAGAACAUUCU